rnacentral:rRNA from 1 species
AGUGAACGCUGGCGGUAGGCCUAACACAUGCAAGUCGAACGGCAGCACAGUAAGAGCUUGCUCUUACGGGUGGCGAGUGGCGGACGGGUGAGGAAUACAUCGGAAUCUACUUUUUCGUGGGGGAUAACGUAGGGAAACUUACGCUAAUACCGCAUACGACCUACGGUUGAAUGCAGGUGAUCUUCGGACCUUGCGCGAUUGAAUGAGCCGAUGUCGGAUUAGCUAGUUGGCGGGGUAUAGGCCCACCAAGGCGACGAUCCGUAGCUGGUCUGAGAGGAUGUUCAGCAAACCUGGAACUGAGACACGGUCCAGAUUCCUACGGGAGGAAGCGGUGGGGAAUAUUGGAAAAUGGGCGCAAGCCUGAUCCAGCCAUACCGCGUGGGUGAAGAAGGCCUUCGGGUUUUAAAGCCCUUUUGUUGGGAAAGAAAAGCAGCAGGUUAAUACCCCGCUGUUCUGACGGUACCCAAAGAAUAAGCACCGGCUAACUUCGUG